UGAAUUAGAAAAGGACUAAUCCUGUCUGGUAAACAGGAGAUCCUGGGUUCAAAUCCCAGCA
rnacentral:tRNA from 1 species